AUACGUAGGUGGCAAGCGUUGUCCGGAAUUAUUGGGCGUAAAGCGCGCGCAGGCGGUUUCUUAAGUCUGAUGUGAAAUCCCGGGGCUCAACCGCGAGCGGCCAUUGGAAACUGGGGAACUUGAGUGCAGGAGAGGGGAGGGGAAUUCCACGUGUAGCGGUGAAAUGCGUAGAGAUGUGGAGGAACACCAGUGGCGAAGGCGGCUCUCUGGCCUGUAACUGACGCUGAGGCGCGAAAGCGUGGGGAGCGAACAGGAUUAGAUACCCUGGUAGUCCACGCCGUAAACGAUGAGUGCUAAGUGUUAGAGGGUAUCCACCCUUUAGUGCUGCAGCAAACGCAUUAAGCACUCCGCCUGGGGAGUACGGCCGCAAGGCUGAA
rnacentral:rRNA from 1 species